rnacentral:rRNA from 1 species
UACGAAGGGUGCAAGCGUUACUCGGAAUUACUGGGCGUAAAGCGCGCGCAGGCGGCUAUCCAAGUCAGUGGUGAAAGCCCGGAGCUCAACUCCGGAACUGCCAUUGAAACUGUUUAGCUUGAGGAUGAGAGAGGUGAGUGGAAUUCCCAGUGUAGAGGUGAAAUUCGUAGAUAUGGGGAGGAACACCGGUGGCGAAGGCGGCCAUCUGGACGGUAACUGACGCUGAGACGCGAAAGCGUGGGUAGCAAACAGG